CAGACUCUUGGUAUAAUUUUGAAAAUUAUUUAUAAAUAGGAUAUAAGCAAUAAUAGGAUGAGCUUGACUAAUAUAGAUUUCUUAGUAGAUAAGUAACCAAAUGGUAACAUCUAUUUUCUUAGCCCAAGUAAUAAGUUUGAAUCUUGAUUUAAAUGAAUUCAAUUAUUAGUUGCAAUUGGAAGAUAUACACUCAAGCUAUAUUCUAUUAAUUAAAGUAGGCAUAGCAUUGGAGGCUCAGCCACCUAUAUACUUAAUGGUUAGGAAUUCUAAAGCUGAACAGUGAACAAAAUAUCAUCAUCCCAUGUGGUCUUGCAUAAUCAAUGAAUUCCACAUGACUAAUAUGAAAAAUUAAUUUUCAACCAUCAACAAGCUUAUAGAAAAAAACAAGCUUAUAGAAAAAGGGAGCAGUCAUUUAGUUCUAGAAUUUGGGCAUUGGAGGAAAAAAAAUGUCCUGACCUUCCAAUAAGGGCAUGGGCCUCCAACCUAAAAUCAACCCUGAAGAACAUGUACAGAUAAAAGAUUGCAGAUUCUUCAUCAACUAAAGGCAGAGGGAGAGGAUACCAUACCUUAAUAUUUUCAUUUUGUGCCCAUUUCUCUCUCUGUGAAAACAGGCUGAAUGUAAACAUCAAGCCCAUCACUUCACAUAACUAGGCACAUGCAAGUCACCAUAUCUGUGAACCCCACAGUUACUGUUCCAAUGCCAUCCAAACAAUGCAAACAAGAGGAUGUUUUCUUUCAUGGGUCCGGCUUAGUGCAUAAAUUCAUCUGCUAUGAUUUUCUUGACCCUACAUUCAUUUCUUUUGCAACACAAGCACUCAUCAAAAAGUACACACAUGAAUGAGUAAUAUAUAACAAAUCCACAAUGCAGAUGAAGCAUUGUAGAUCCAAAGCAAGGUAAAGAGGGCCAACAAAAGCUCAAAUACAACUAUUUCAUGCCCUAGGAUCCAGAAGCAUGGCAAUUUUUUCUAAUGGCAAAUGCAACAGCAAAAGUGUCUGAGUUUUAGAGUAUUAGUUCUUUAAUGCACUGCCAGCUAUCGAAAAGAUGCAACUUUGAGCCACUCAGGAAAUGAAAAUAGAAAGAUGUAUACCAAGCUAUACAACACCAAAUGAACUACAUGUUCCUGCAAGCUUGCUACCAACAUUUCACUGCAGAAUCCACCCCAACAGAGAAAGACUGGAAGUAAGAAAAAAAAAGGGACGUUAAGGGAAGUCGAGAGAAGAAGAGGAAUUGUGUGACGGGUUAGCUUGGAUGGACAUAAAUCAGGUUAUAUUAUAAAGUGAAAAUGGCAAUCUACAGAGUCUAAUUUCAUUUGAGUUGGGCAGUCAGUU
rnacentral:misc_RNA from 1 species